rnacentral:rRNA from 1 species
CGGGGGGGGCAAGCGUUGUUCGGAAUUACUGGGCGUAAAGGGCUCGUAGGCGGCCAACUAAGUCAGACGUGAAAUCCCCAGGCUCAACCUGGGAACUGCGUCUGAUACUGGAUGGCUUGAAUUCGGGAGAGGGAUGCAGAAUUCCAGGUGUAGCGGUGAAAUGCGUAGAUAUCUGGAGGAAUACCGGUGGCGAAGGCGGCAUCCUGGACCGACAUUGACGCUGAGGAGCGAAAGCUAGGGGAGCGAAACGGGAUUAGAUACCCCGGUAGUCCUAGCCCUAAACGAUGAAUGCUUGGUGUAACGGGUAUCGAUCCCUGUUGUGCCGAAGCUAACGCAUUAAGCAUUCCGCCUGGGGAGUACGGUCGCAAGGCUG